rnacentral:lncRNA from 1 species
UUUGGUUGGAAGACCAUUUGAAUGGUUUCGGUGAGGUCCCGGUGAGGUCCGGAAGCAUUCGGGCGUUUUCGGUACGCGUAGGCGCUAAAACGGAGCCGAAAGGCCAUGUUGGGCCGUGAGCCAAAUUCGGCACUAGCGUGGAUGAAAAGAUGAUGAAAACACGCUCGAAAACAUGUUUGGAGAGUCUCGGUUCGAUUUGAAAAGAAUCGGAGGUCAAACGAGCGAGAACGAGCGAAAACGGAGAAGAAACGGUGAAAAAGCUGAAAUUUUGGUUAAGUCCUUAAAGGCUGGAAUUCUGGACCUACGGGGACCGGUCCCCCAAGUCCAGGGACCGGUCCCCUAUACAAAAAAUGGCCCCCGCGGGGGUAAUGUAAUAAAAUGAAAGUUUAGGGGCCUAUUUGCAGUUUGGGCAUUAUGAGAGUGUAUAGAGAGGGUUCUUUCUCUAUUUCUCUCAUUUCCCUCACCCCAACACCAUCUCUCUCUCUUUCUCUAAGCGUAAAGAAGAAAGGAGAAGAGAAGAAGAAAGGGAAGAAGAAUAAGAAGAAGAAGUUGGAGGAGAAGAAGUGGAUCAUCAUCACCAACAUCAUCUUCUUCUUCCGCUCACUAUUAGAGCAAGCUUAGCAAGGUAACGAAACACGUUGGCGAAGACGGUUCGGCAAUCCGACGAGCCGUUACAAAGAUAUUGAAGAAACGGAUGCUUGGAGCUUCGUUUCCGCCUGGAGGGCCGAGGCGACGUUCAUAAAUCGUGAAAUCGGGUCCCGAGCAUCGUAACGGCGAGGCGAAGAUCGUUAGCACUUGAAACGGCGAAGCGACGCGCUCUUGGAGAGCAACUGUGAGAUCGGGCCCAAACGGGUGCCGAGUGCCGCGGGAGGCCGAUUGCAAGUGUCGACGAGCAAUCGGAACGCGAGUUAAGGUGGGUUGUGUUUACCGAAGCGACUAGGUCGCCCUUUAUGUCUAAGAUGAUUAAGAAUCCAUGUUGAUGCAUAUGAAUGUAAAUGAGGCAUAUAGAUGAUGCAUAUAAAUGUAAAUAAUGCAUGUGGUUGAUUCAUGUAGCUAAUGCAUGUUAAUAAUAUGAUGCAAAUGCUAAGUAGAUCCAUGUAAAAUGAUAUGAUAUAGAAUACAUGCUAGUGAUAAUGCAAAUGAUAUGUAUGUGUGCAUUGGAAUAUAUGCUAGUUGCACUUAGCAUUAUGAGUUCAUGCUAGAUAGUAAAUGCAUAUUGGCAUCAUAGAAUGUAUGCGAGAUGAAAUGUGGAUAUCUAUAGUACUCGAUAUGACAAUAGGACGUCAAGUAGAUCGAGUGGCAUUGAACCUAGUGUUAAUAAACAUAGGUCGGACAUAGAUGACAUCGAACCUAGUGUUGUUGAACCUAGGAUAAAUAACGAGUGGCAUCUAACCUAGUGUUAAAGAACAUAGGUUGAGUAUGAACCUAGAGUCGGGAUCUAGGUGUGUGGCAUCUAACCUAGUGUUAAAGAACAUAGGUUGAGAACUGAACCUAGAGUUAAGGUAAACCUAGGUUGUGAAAUUGAGGCAUUAGACCUAGAGUCAGUUGGACCUAGGGUGGAAAGUGCAUUGGACCUAGAUAGGUCAAUAGUAUAGGGUUGGAUAUGGACCCUUGACUUGUGAAGUCGAUUCCGGAAUCCCAGUACUUGUGAACUCAAUAGUUCUUGGACCGCGGGUGUAUGCGGCGAUGUUCCUCUCCCACCGGAAAGAACUUUGAGGAUUAUGACUAAGCAAGAACAAAGAGCGCUAGGGUGUACGGCAUGUUCCUCUCCCUAUCGGGGAUCUUGGCUAUGGGUGUACGCGGCUAUGUUUCCUCUCCCACUAACGGAUCCCUGACCACGGUGCACGGACCUUCGGGCGGACCGUUGGGCGAUGUGGUUCUUGGCUUGCAGGCUGAGGUGCAUGCGACAGGAUCCUUCACCUCGAGCCGGGCAGAGCGCGGAUUAUCCGCUGUUGAUUGACUCGAGGCCGAGUCGGGUGGCUAGCUGGAAUAAGGUAGAUAGAACCUUGAGGGCUAGUGGUAAAUGUGAUAACCUAAGGUAGUGGAAACCUUAGAGUUGGAUGACAUGAGCUAAGAUUAGCGAGAUUGAUUGUAGAAUCAAUAAUUCUACUAGUUGUUGCAUAUAUUCCUGUUGCAUAUAGCAUGACAUCAUUGCAGUUGUGAGGCAAAGCAAGGUAAAGUUAGUUGCAUGUUUAUGAUAUACAUAUCUAUCUGUUUAUUGGACUAACUUGUAUUUGCCUCCCUUGGACCUGUUGGUCGAGCUCCUCCCUUGGGUGGCCGUACCCACUGGGAACCAUGGAGUUGGUUCUCACCCCACGUUGUUUUGGGGUUUUACAGGUUCGCACGUGAGCGGCGCGGCGGCGCGAGGCAAGGGCGUAGCUCCAUAGAUAGCGCCCUACCCCCAGAGACCAGAGCUAGCAGUACCCCGUCGACGUAGCUUAGGGGUAUAGAAAAUGAAAGCAAGCAAAUGUAUCAAAUUGUAAUCAAUAAAUGUUGUAAUAACUUAAUUGUAUUGGAAGUUGAAUGUAAUGGAAUUGUGAUGUAAAAUGAAUGGAUGUAAUAUCAUAGGAUGUGUUUAUGUUGAUUGAUACCUUCCUGAUGCAAUUCUGUUUGCUGAGUACUGUUCCUGGUUGGAACCUUUGUAUUGUACUUGUUGCGACGCCUAGGACGUACAGGGGAAACUCUGUCCGUUCGGCGGUCUGUCGGCGUGCCCGAACCGGACCAAAUUGGGAGCGGUCUCGGGGCGUGACAGAUAAAGUGGUAUCAGAGCAUAAAGUAGAGAAUGGGAAAUGGUUUAGCUGGACCUAGGAGACCUAGGAUAGUAAACCAUAGGAGAAUAAGGUUCGUGAGAGACGAGGACUUAUGAUUUGUGGCGAAAGAUUAAUGGAUUGGGUUGUGUCGUAAACCUCUAAGACGGAUAUUAGAGGUAGACUUGAGGUGUGGUUUAUUCUCAGCCGAGGAUGUUCAUGUUGGCGUACGACAACAUGAAACCUAGUGAUGAGAAUAGAUGCCCUCGCGUGACUUUCGCCUGAUUGGCUUUUGAGCCGUUGUUAGUGGUCUCGUGUUCGACCCAAGUUGGUCGAGAACUAAUCGAGUUGUCGUGUUUCAGGAAGCGAUGGCACCGCGUAGGCGAUCCUCAUCCAGAUCGGCGCGGGAAGGGACAAGUGGUGUUCCUGAGCAAGCUGAGGCGAGCGGAGACCCGAUGCUCCGCGAGCAAUUGAAUACGCUCAUGGGCAUAGUGCAGCGACAGGAGGAGCAGAUCAAGGAGCUCCAUGAAUUGUUGACACGACAGCCUGCGGCGGCUGCGCCGGUAGCAGCGUGCCGUGUACCGACAGGAGUCGCGAUGGAUUCGGGGGCAGCGGCCCCUGGUUCUGUAGAAUUGGAGGCGGAGAAAGAACGGACUUUGGCGGCCCUAAUGACCUUCAGGAAAUUUGAUCCGCCUACCUUCGAUGGAGAGAAUGUCGAUCCGUGGAUCGUGGAGAUGUGGAUUGACUCCAUGGAAACGCUCUUCGAGGAGCUAUACACCUUGGAGCGGGACAAGGUGCCCCUAGCUGUGCAUUGCUUGAAGCAAUCAGCAAAGGCGUGGUGGAAAGGCAUUCGACGGGAUCGAUCGCCUAGUCUUCCUCCUAUGGCGUGGGAUGAAUUUCGGGGAUUAGUGUUUUAUACGUACUUCCCCGACACUGAGAGGAGAAAGCUUCGGGACAAGUUCAGGAAGCUGCGGCAAGGAGACCGCUCCGUGAGGGAAUAUGAACGGGAAUUUUCACGCAUCGUGAAUUGUGUUCCGGAUGUGAUACGGGAUGACAAGGAUAGGGCCGAUUGGUUCCUGCGUGGACUCCGACCGGAGAUUUACAGGAGGGUGCAAAUCUUCCAGCUCACAACCUUUGCUGAGGUGUUGGAUCGGGUUUGUGGGCAGAGCAUGGCGAGGCUUUCGUGCGUGAGGAGCGCGAAUCUCGUAGGCAUGAGCGAGGAGGGGCGAGGCCAUUAUCGAGUGGUUCAUGUGGUCAGUCGAGUUCCAGACACCGCUCGAGGUCAUCCUCUACCCGAUCCUCCUCCGGAUGUGUGAUUUGUGGUGGUUCCCAUCAGGCGCGGCGAUGUGCGCUGCGUGAUGGACGGUGUAUCCAUUGUGGACAGCCCGGCCAUAUGCGGGACGAGUGCCCACAAGGUAAGAGCCAGGCCUUGAUGCUGGCGACGGCCUAUUCCUCUCUGGGACAGCCUGCAGGUGUGCCACCUGCGGCAUGGUCGGGGGAGCGGCCGUUGAGGACAAUGCAACCGGAGGGUUCGCGGUGAGCGCCUAGUGGCCAUGGAUAUGCGACCCAGGUUGAUGAACCUGCUGCCAUCGAUGAUGUCGUUGCAGGUACGAGUUAAUUACAUAAGCAUAUGCUUUUGCGUAAUCUCAAGUGGAUGCAUUGCAUGCAUUUAUCAUAUGGUUAGCACCUCCGAAUUACAUAUUGCAUAGUAGGGACCGAGUGGUUGGGUAGGUAAGCACCCGAGCAUGCUUGCAUCGUAGGAGUGUGGCGCCUGCUGGAGCAGGUAGUGAGCCAAGUGGGACUAGCAAAUCGCUAGCGAUGGUUCUUGGACGAAGAAUGGGACUCGUAGUGAACGUGAAACGGUGGAGCGACUCUCAAGGCAAUGAGUAUCGAAUUGCGAGAGUUGCACCGUGACGUUGCGAAUACCCGAGUGGCCUGAGCAUCUCGGAUAUUAUUUCGGUAGAUCAAACAGGGAGAGUCGAAUCACUGUUGAGAGUGCGGUUGGUUGAGGCCAAGUUUGGCCUGUGGGCCUAGUAGUACCUCGAAUUGAGGUGGACAAGUUGUUACUCGUGUGGCCGUUGCGCAUGGGCUAAGCUCCCUGAUGCUGGACUUCGUGUGAGACGUCGUAGAGGCAUGGAGCGCUCGAGUAUAGAUACUCGUGGAGUGCGGUUUCGAUUCAGCCGGUCGAGUGAAUUGGCAGUAGCACUUCAGCAGGGCUAAGUGUGAAGCGGGCCAUGGAUCACUCGUGAGGGCUGGUGGCUCGCACUAGGUACUUAGGAGCCGGUAGAGUGUGUAGCUCUGUAGAGCAUGUCGUAUAGGACGACGUUGACGGGUAGUGCUUGGGGACGAUCCGUGCCUGGACCAUUUGUGGACUGUGGAGCCUGGGCCCAUUGGGCAGGCGCAGUCAGCUGCGAGAGGCAGCGGCCCGGUACCUACGGGUAGGACAGAGAUUGGUCAGGACGGUAGUCCAAGCUUGGACCCGAGUACGUGGAAUGCCACGUGUUAGAUCGUGAGAUUGAGGACACACCGAGUGUGUGGUGACCCAACCCGAGGACAUGAUGUGGUUUGGGGUCUUGGUUGCUCCUGGUUGGAGUGUGUGCGAAUUCUCCAAUGAGAAUGUCGCCUGAUGAUGAUUAGGUCUACGAUGCGAGCGAGGGACGCUAUGCGUAGUUGCGACGGGUUUAGGCAGUAGGCCUACGUGGUGUUGGUGACCGUUGGUCCACCUGUGGAAGCCGACGUAAUCGGUUUAGCCGAUAACUCCAUGGAGGAGUUGGUGCAAGGGAAGUGAAUUCUCAAAAUGCGAGAGUUGGACUUCACUCAAAAUCGACUAAUUGUCGAGUGGGGGUGCUUCGUGAAAGCCGAAGAAGUCAAAUGCACCAAAAGUGCAUUACAAUGGAGUCCGCGAGAGCAAAUAGUGCAAGAAUUUGCACUUGGCAAACUUGCUCUCGGGGACCGGUCCCUGGCGGGAGGGACCGGUUCCCGAACGUUGUCUACGCGAGCUUGCUCUCGGGGACCGGUCCCAGGAGGGAGGGACCGGUUGCCCCGAGGCUGAGGGCUGUGGCAAGCGCGAGGCAACCGGUCCCUAGGCCAGAGGGACCGGUUCCCGAACACGUGAGAUUGAGGAGGUCCCUCUGGGACCGGUCCCAGGCAGGGAGAGACCGGUCCCCGAGCAUGAAAUUUGCCCAGGCAGGCUGGGUCAUGUUGGAGGGGUUGGAGAGCUUGAGGAUAAUGCUCUUUUAUGGAUUAAGAUUCGAGAUGCGCCGGAGUAGGCCAUCUCUCAAUAGAGCAAAGAUCCAAAUGCGAUUGGAGCACUCGCAGUGGGUCGAUGCACCAAUGAUAUUGCUUCUAAGCGAUAUUGGUGAUCGAAUUGGAGUGUGACCCCUAGAGGGAUGGUGAAAGUGACGAAGAGUCGUAAAUGAGAAAUACGAACUCUUGGAUAGCCAAAGUGGCGGAGCGCCGCUUUGUUGACACUCAGGUGAUUCGAGAGGGCUUACCCGUGUGUGCUGUGUCGUGGUGGUGGACCAUAUGACUAUUGGUGCGUUCUUGAUAGCUCCACACCAUGAGGAUAGCGGGUAGUCCCGGUCUCGAAGGAAGUGGUUUGGCCUUAGUGGGCCAGUUAGUGAAUGGUGUUGGAGCGCGUAGAGUCGUUGAGUUUCGACUUGCGCUACCACCCAGAAUGACGGAGACCCGUAAUGCACUUUUGGACUUACACACAGCAAAUGUGAGCGAAUUUAGUCUCACGUCCUCCGUAGUGGGCCUUCGGAUAGUUCCAAUGAGCGAAAGGCCACUCCGAGAUGCAAAAGUGCACUGUACCCCUUGUCACUCAAUAAAGAGAAUUAGGGUGUGAAUUGGGUUUGAGGUGAGUUAGUUUCGAGGACGAAACUCUUAUUAAGGAGGGGAGGAUGUAAGGUAUCGGACUUCUAAAAUCAUGAAGUUACGGUGUACAUUUGGUUGGAAGACCAUUUGAAUGGUUUCGGUGAGGUCCCGGUGAGGUCCGGAAGCAUUCGGGCGUUUUCGGUACGCGUAGGCGCUAAAACGGAGCCGAAAGGCCAUGUUGGGCCGUGAGCCAAAUCCGGCACUAGCAUGGAUGGAAAGAUGAUGAAAACACGCUCGAAAAUAUGUUUGGAGAGUCUCGGUUCGAUUUGAAAAGAAUCGGAGGUCAAACGAGCGAAAACGAGCGAAAACGGAGAAGAAACGGUGAAAAAGCUGAAAAUUUGGCUAAGUCCUUAAAGGCUGGAAUUCUGGACCUACGGGGACCGGUCCCCCAAGUCAAGGGACCGG